rnacentral:rRNA from 1 species
AUUGAACGCUGGCGGCAGGCCUAACACAUGCAAGUCGAGCGGAUGAAGGGAGCUUGCUCCUGGAUUCAGCGGCGGACGGGUGAGUAAUGCCUAGGAAUCUGCCUGGUAGUGGGGGAUAACGUCCGGAAACGGGCGCUAAUACCGCAUACGUCCUGAGGGAGAAAGUGGGGGAUCUUCGGACCUCACGCUAUCAGAUGAGCCUAGGUCGGAUUAGCUAGUUGGUGGGGUAAAGGCCUACCAAGGCGACGAUCCGUAACUGGUCUGAGAGGAUGAUCAGUCACACUGGAACUGAGACACGGUCCAGACUCCUACGGGAGGCAGCAGUGGGGAAUAUUGGACAAUGGGCGAAAGCCUGAUCCAGCCAUGCCGCGUGUGUGAAGAAGGUCUUCGGAUUGUAAAGCACUUUAAGUUGGGAGGAAGGGCAGUAAGUUAAUGCCUUGCUGUUUCGACGUUACCAACAGAAUAAGCACCGGCUAACUUCGUG